CUACGGGAGGCUCCAGUAGGGAAUAUUGGGCAAUGGGCGAAAGCCUGACCCAGCAACGCCGCGUGCGCGAUGAAGGCCUUCGGGUUGUAAAGCGCUUUUCUGGAGGAAGAGAAAGGACGGUACUCCAGGAAUAAGGAUCGGCUAACUACGUGCCAGCAGCCGCGGUAACACGUAGGAUCCGAGCGUUAUCCGAAUUUACUGGGCGUAAAGCGCGUGCAGGCGGUCGGGUAAGUUGGGCGUGAAAUCUCCUGGCUCAACUGGGAGAGGUCGUCCAAAACUACCUGGCUAGAGGACGGUAGAGGGAGGUGGAAUUCCCGGUGUAGUAGUGAAAUGCGUAGAUAUCGGGAGGAACACCAGUGGCGAAAGCGGCCUCCUGGACCGUACCUGACGCUCAGACGCGAAAGCUAGGGGAGCGAACGGGAUUAGAUACCCCUGUAGUC
rnacentral:rRNA from 1 species